CGACCAUUCCACCGGAUGAUUCACGAAGUUCCAUCACGCGUACUCCGUAUCGUGAGCGGACGACGUUCCUGGGAAGGUAGGAAGGUAGGAAGGAAGCGCAGAUGGUUUUUACGUUACGUUACCCGAGAGAUAUCGCGACUGGCUAUUAUUGCGAUGACGGAGAUAGUAGGCCAACUUUCGAGAUGACAAUUUUAUCUGGAUGCAUGUUAACCGUGGCGACGUUACUGUUUUCGCUACUUUCCGAUCGCCUUAGGAUUCGCUCACGCUAAUAGGAAUUAGUUGACUCUACCCAAGCCCCAGGCCAAUACCCGACAAAGAAUGAGCUCUGAGUUGCAGUUAAACUACAAUUGGAUGGAUGUUAAUUAUCAGAAAGGGAGAAAACGAAUGAUGAAAAUUAUUAAGGACAUUGAUUUGCACUCAGAAUGCACUGAGGAUAUACAUACAAUAUUCAAGUGAAUGCGCAUGGGCUUUCCUCCACCAGGUCUGGUAAGAGUGAGCGUUCCUGGACGCUUACUCUUGUGGCGUGUUACUCGCACUACUCCAGAGGGUUAGUGACCGUGAAAAUAGUCCCUGCAAGUGGGACGGCCAUUUUUCAAAAUCGUUGCAACGAUUGCGUGCGCCCACAACCGACCUACAUUCGAGGUCGAUGCGCCACGAUCAUUCGUUUCCUCGUUUUUCCCUUCGCUCGCUGAUUCUCCAGUGAUCAGAAUCAAAUUUCCCGCCUGAAGCGUCGGAGCGUCGGCCGAGCAAGGAUGGGAAAGUGUAGCUGUUCAAAGGACCAAGUUAUUUUUUUUUCAUUGUUAGAAGCGAGCAGAGCGUUUGGAUCGAACGAAGCGAGAAGCAAGAAGACAUUGGCACAGAAGCGUCGGCCAAGUCUGCAUAGCUACGAAGUUGGAAACAAAGCAGGCUAUCUUGAAAAAUAAUAUCACGCUGUGCUAACUAGAUGGAUUUUCUUGGUCUACGCUUUCUUGGAUUUAUCUCGAAUGAUACCGGAAAGGAUCAGCGUCAAUCAGUGAGCAUGGGAUCCUUGGAAUUCUGAAGGCCAAUCAUAACUCUAUAAUCUUUACUGUCGCAUCUUGAAAGGACCAAUAAUCUGACAUAAGUGAUAUGGAAAGGCGUCCUGCAAUGUAGAGACGUAAGCGACGUAGCGACGCAAGGCGCCCCCAGCGACGAAACGAAAGAGAGUGAGAAGACGAAGCGAAGCAGGAGAGCGAACGACGCCGUGGAGAGAGUAGGCCAAUGCCAGUGUCACCGACUAGUCAGCCACUGCAAACUUGAUCGUGAAAACAGAAAAACAACGACCAUCGUCGAUUA